rnacentral:rRNA from 1 species
GUUAACGCGUUAACAAUGACCCCCUCGGGAGUACGCCCGCAAGGUUAAAACUCAAAUGAAUUAACGGGGGCCCCCACAAGCGGUGGAGCAUGUGGUUUAAUUUGAUGCAACGCGAAGAACCUUACCUACUCUUGACAUCCAGAGAACUUUCCAGAGAUGGAUUGGUGCCUUCGGGAACUCUGAGACAGGUGCUGCAUGGCUGUCGUCAGCUCGUGUUGUGAAAUGUUGGGUUAAGUCCCGCAACGAGCGCAACCCUUAUCCUUUGUUGCCAGCGGUUCGGCCGGGAACUCAAAGGAGACUGCCAGUGAUAAACUGGAGGAAGGUGGGGAUGACGUCAAGUCAUCAUGGCCCUUACGAGUAGGGCUACACACGUGCUACAAUGGCAUAUACAAAGAGAAGCGACCUCGCGAGAGCAAGCGGACCUCAUAAAGUAUGUCGUAGUCCGGAUUGGAGUCUGCAACUCGACUCCAUGAAGUCGGAAUCGCUAGUAAUCGUAGAUCAGAAUGCUACGGUGAAUACGUUCCCGGGCCUUGUACACACCGCCCGUCACACCAUGGGAGUGGGUUGCAAAAGAAGUAGGUAGCUUAACCUUCGGGAGGGCGCUU